AGUGACAGGUCAUGAAAGAUAAAGCUACAGACCCACUGGAGAUGUGGGCCAGCCGAAGUUUCAACCAGAUGUCGCCAGAGUGGCCAGUCUCCCCCAGGCAAAGCAAAGCAAAGCGAUAGUUCCUGGACAACUCCUUUCGUGGUGGACUUCCUGAGGCCCUCUGCGCCGGCUCCUGGCUCUACAGAGCUUGUUCCUGGGGACCAGUUACUCCAGGCUUUGGAUCUCCCCACCUCAAUAGUUCGCAGGGAAGUUCUCCAUCAUUCCACUGGGGCCAGGCCUUGGGUUCCACUCCAGAAGCCCCGAAGCACCCUUCCUCCUGUCCAGAGUCCUCUCUCCUACCUACUUGGGCUUAGGCUCAGCCCACCUGUGGGCUGGGAGGGGAUGGAAGAGACAGGUGGGCCCCUAGAUGCACUGGCUGGAUUGCAGACAUAUUUAUGCUCCAUUUCUAGUGUCUGGUCCUUCCUGUGGUCCCACUGAUGGGGGAACAGAAAGGAAACAGGAGGGGGCUGGGGUGACAGGCACAGCCCACUAGGCUGCCCUCCUCUGCCUCACCCUCCCUCGCCUGGGCCCCAGCUGAGCCCAUCAUCAGAGGCCUCCAGGAGCUGGGGCCACAGUCUGCGUGGGUCUGCCCCUCCCCUCACCCCAGCCUAGAAGACUCCACCUCUCCCAGGUCCUGGCUGGGAUCCGAAGGCCCCGGGCAAGUGGGGGAAGGGGAGCCACUCCUACUUUCCCAGCAGCUGCUGCUGCCUCUUCCUGUUUUGCUAAAACUUUGGCUCCGGACCCAAGGGGGUGGGGGAAAGUCGCCAGGCGCUCUCGCCCCCCCCCAAAGGUCAAACUCAUCCCCCUGGUCCUCUUAGCUAGUUAUUUAUAGCUCCCCAGGCCCUGGCUGAGGAGCUACAUCUCUCCUCCCCCAAAUGUCAGCAGCUGUGGCCAUUGCCCCAGGGAUGCAGCCAGAUGUGCUGAUCACUCCAGAUGCGCAGUGCCAGGAUUUGGGAGCGCAGGCCAGGCCCUUUCUCCUGGACAUUCCCUGCUGCCUGGUUCAUCCUCCACUCUGAGUCAACAAACCUGAGUUCUGGGGGAUGGGGGGACAUCAGGAAGUUCCCACCUAUUUUCUCCACUCCCAUAGCCUGAUCCCAAGACGGGACAGCUCGGGCUAUAGACCCACGUGGAUUUCUUUGCAUAAAUUAGGACAGGACUCAUUUGGAGACUGGAUUUGUAGAAGUCAGCUGCAGUUCAGAGGGACAGAAGCGUCAGGAUGCUGGAUGCUGUCUUCUUACUAACGUCAGCACGGAGAUCCACUCCUGAGAGUCCAGCGUCCAAAGAGCAGGCUCUGCGAUUCUUUUCUUUGGCUACAUCCUGCUCUCCAGGAGAUGAUGAAUUCCCCAGGGAGAGGACUGCAGCUUCCUUUGCCUCUGUGCCAGGAAGUUGCUCAACAAAUAAGAGAUUAUACGUAAUGAAAAAGAGUUGAAGUCAGUGGUGGUCACGUGUGGGUGGAUCCUUCAAGGUUGUAGCAAGGGGAGAAGUCCAAACCCAUCCUAAAAGACACUCCUGGCAAAGAGAGUGUCAGGACCUCCUCAAACGCUUGCCUAGAGAUUCCAAGGCCUGAGAAGGUCCUGCUGCGGCCUGUUGCAAGGCUGAACUCCCGAGCCCACCAGUGGGUGGACCACAGCAUCCCUGCAGGGGCCACUGGAGCACGUAAUUGUGAGCUGGCUACAGAAAGGCAUUUUGCAACUCAGACGAAUUUCUUCUCGCUCAUGAUUAGGGUAUGGCCCAGUGGCUGCCUCCCUGACUGUAAUCUCUGCUGGCACAGGCAUCUCCGGGGCUGGGCAGUGGGGGCUGUGGAAGGAGGGCUGACCUAGAAGCCUGGACGCCGGAGUUCUCUGCCCGCUCCUCGCCAGGGAUUAACCAUGGCAUGGCUGGCAGGGAGACUGGGUUCUCAGUUUCCUCAUCUGUAAAAGGAGUGAUGUGAUUAGAUUAGAGCGGCCCAAACCUAACCACACCUUAGGAUUACCUGGGGAGCUUCAGAUUACUAGGUACUCCCUUCACCCCUUGCAUCUGCUGGGGGCUGUGAGAUGGCCCAGGAAUCUGUUUUUCACAGGCUCUUCUACAUGAUUUUUUUUGGGCCACACCCACAGCCUGUGGAAGUUCUGGGGCCAGGGAUCGAACCUGCGACCCUAGCCACUGCAGUGACAAUGCCGGAUUCUUAACCUGCUGAGCCACAGGGAAACUCCUACAGGAUUUUGACAUAAUGUCAAGUAUGGGGGAUCCUACAGACUAUAAAUAUAAAUAGACUGUAAAUAUAAAUCACUUGCAGCUCUUAGGAGAAAAGAUUCUAGUAAAUGGAAUGGCUGUAACAAGAGGCUUUGGUGCUGUGGGGUUUUAUCAGAGGGCAAAUGGUGGGUAGUUUAUUUCAUCAUCAUCAUCACCAUCAAUUACUAUUUUUUCCAGGCCUUUUUUGGCUGCACCUGCAGCAUGCAGAAGCAUGCGGGGCCAGGGAUCAAACCAGCACCCCCGUGGUGACAACACCAGAUCCUUAACCCGCUGCACCACCAGGGAACCCCUCCAGUUUUAUUGAGAUAUAAUUGACCUACAUCACUGUGUAAGGUGUACAGCACAAUUUGAUUUACAUACAUCAGGAAAGGGUUAUCAGACUAAGUUUAGUAAAUAUGUAUCAACUCAUAUAGAUACAAAAUUAAAGAAAUGGAAACACCCUUUUCUUCCUGCGAGCAGAGGACUCGGGAUUGAGGCCCUCGCUUACCUCAAGGCUGGAGCCGGGCUGGGAGAGAAGGGAAGGGAGGAAUGGGCCGUCCCUGUAGGUGGGGCCUCUUGGCACGGGGACCUUUCUCUCUCACUCUCCUGGGUGGAGUUUGGCUGCACGGGCUUUGGCACCAGCCUCUGGAGCUGAGAGAGUGUCUUCCCAUCCGUAUUCCUCCCCCACUUCGGUUUCAGCCCAGAGGACAGCCCCCUUCUCCUCCUCCUGCCCUGACUUCCUCCCCAGGCUCCCUCACCAACCUCAUUCCUAAGCCUCGCUAAUCUGUUUGCCACCCUCUGCUUCCUUGCCUCGCCCUUGCUCAUGCCAUUCUCUCCACCUGGAAUGUCACCCCCGCCCCCCAACACCGAUUCACAUUUCUGGGCUCCUUCGAAACCCAGCUCCAGACUGGCUGACGUCGUUGGAGCUGUGAUCUGCCCAGGUCGCUCCUCUUCACGAUAGACUCAUUUAUGCUUGAAAUCACAGAAUCAGAGAACAGCUUUAGACUCAGAAAGAAAUAAGUACAGAUGACCUAAACCAGCUCUCGCAUUCAAUGGACGGAAACCCUGAGGCCCAGAGAGGUCUUGACUCGGCCAAGGUCACACAGUCGUGAGGUUUGCUGGUGGUGGUGGUGGCGGCGAACAGUUGGCUUCACAAGAGGCUUUCAAGUAUCCUACGUCUUUGUUUUAUUUCCUCGACACGUGGUGAUGCCUAUGAGGGCAGAGGUGAUGUUGCUGUUUUAAUUGGUGUUCUUAAGCUCCACGGUGCUGUGUAUGUGCAGGCAACUGUAAUAGUUCUAAAACUCGCAGGGGUGCACAUUUUGCAUAUGAUCUCAGACCAGCCCUGAGCGGUAGGUCACCAAGGCAUUGCUAUCUUACUGAGCAGGAAACUGAGACUUAGAAAGGUGUGACCCAGGAAGUUAAUGGCAGAACCGGGGCCAAAACGCAAGUUCCCUGCCUCCCAGCCUCAGCCCAGGACCCUGACACCCAUGAUGCUGUUCUUCUAGAGCCUUCCUGAGGUUCCCGGCAGGGGACCUAGAGUAGUCAAAGGGGUGGCCUCCGCCGUCUUUCGCCUUCCUUGUGAUUUCUUCACUUUGGGGUUGAGCAGACCUUGCCUCUGGCCUCCUACCCCUCCCCAUCCUGUCCCACCGCGUUCUCCUUGUGUCCCCCCACAGCCUGUUGGCACAUUGACCCAUACGCAUACAUGCUCAGAGCUGCAGGUGUCUAGGGCAACAGACCACAGGGGAAACCACAUCACCUUUGUUGACACUGGAGGGAGGCAGGGGGGCCGGGAAAGAACCUGCUUACGUCUCUCCACCUGCCUCUGUCCCCGCAGUCAUCUCACCUCCCAGCCUGGUGGGUCAUCUGGACUUGACCCAUGGCCCAGCCUCUUCCUGAGGACCCAUCCAAACCUGGCCCGGGAGGAUGUAUCGCCCCUUCUCACAGAUCCUGAAAUCCUGGAGGGAGGUGGGGCGGUCUGCCUAGCUGCACCCCAAAGCCACACCCCCAAUCCUAGCCAGUUUACUGACCUAGCUCCUCUGAUUCCACCUGCGCAGUGCAGCAGACAAAGGUGGAAACCAGGAAUGAGAGGACAUGGCUGGGGGUCGGUAAGGAAGGAAAUUUGACAUCUAGGCCAUCACUCCUACAUCAAAGGGGACCGCUAGGGAGUUCCUGUCGUGGCUCAGCGGUUAAUGAACCCAACUGGCAUCCAUGAGGACGCAGGUUCGGUCCCUGGCCUCGCUCUGUGGGUUAAGGAUCAGGUGUUGCCGUGAGCUGUGGUUUAGGCCGGUGGCUACAGCUCCAAUUAGACCCCUAGUCUGGGAACCUCCACACGCCGCAGGUGCGGCCCUAAAAAGACAAAAAGACACCAAAAAAAGGUGGAGGGGGGACCUCUAGUAACCAGGCUACACGGGAUCUGUGGUGUUUGGACCUGCUGAAAGAAGCUGCACAGGCUCUGAAUCAGGCCCAUUUGGGAUUAAGUCACUUGCUGGCUCUGUGGCCUUGGGCAAAUCAUUUUGUGUUUCUGAGCUUUAGUUUGCUAACUAAAACAAUGGGGAUAAUAAUGAGAUAUAAGUGAAAGGUCCUGGAACAGCACAGGAUACCAAGGAGACGCUCAAUAAAUCCUAAUUACCCUCCCUCCCUCCUUUCCUUCCACUUGUUGCAUCUGGCUCCAUGAAACCCUUUAUUUGGAAUUGGAGCUCUACCUCCCCUAUUUACGUGCAAGUCCAAACCCUGAGCAUUGGCAUCUGAUCCCAGGUUCAGAAACAGGAAUGCACAUCCCCACAGCCCAAGGAAGUGGCUGUCCCUCGGAGAGUGCACCCAGGCCAAGGACGAACACCUUCUGAUCGGCCUUGUGGAGAGGGUGUGAGAAGUCCAGGUUAGGAAAGGGCUUGUGGCUUCAGACACCACAUCGAGAAAGCGGGUCAGGAAUGGUCUCAGAGGCCUGCGGUUUAGACCGAUGCCUUCGGAUGGAGCUUUGAACCCUGGCACAAGGUGGGCGCCCAAUAACACUUGUUGAAUGAACGCAUGGCCUCAGCACUUACUAGUUGUGUAACGUUGGUCAUGUUUCUCAACUUUUAUGAGUCGCACUUUAAUCACAAACAUAACAAGGAUUACUGCUAAGAAUAAAUGAUCUCAUGUUUGCCAGGGGGCUGGCAUAGGGCUGCUGCAUGGCACACAGUCAGUAAAUGGUAGCUAAGUAAGGGGAUGUGAGAUAAACGAGAAAGAGAAGGUCAAAGAGGCUCAGAACCCCAAAGCAAGCGGAAGGUGGCUGCCUUCAGGCUUCGUACUGGCCAGAGACUCCAGGAAGACUCUGGGGAGCCAAGGCAGGUCCUGUGGGGCUAAUCUCUUCUGCUAGGUGCUUAGCUGAGCAGUCUGUGAGAGGCCUGGACUCAAGAGC
ensembl:lncRNA